rnacentral:rRNA from 1 species
CAGCCGCCACGGUAAUACGUAGGUGGCAAGCGUUGUCCGGAAUUAUUGGGCGUAAAGGGCUCGCAGGCGGUUUCUUAAGUCUGAUGUGAAAGCCCCCGGCUCAACCGGGGAGGGUCAUUGGAAACUGGGAGACUUGAGUGCAGAAGAGGAGAGUGGAAUUCCACGUGUAGCGGUGAAAUGCGUAGAGAUGUGGAGGAACACCAGUGGCGAAGGCGACUCUCUGGUCUGUAACUGACGCUGAGGAGCGAAAGCGUGGGGAGCGAACAGGAUUAGAUACCCGCGUAGUCCCUGUCUCUUAUAC